ensembl:lncRNA
GUAUGAUAUGCAAGGCUAACUACAUCUCCCAGCAUUCAUCUGUUGGUUUUCGCCUACUUCCUGAUCCUCUGAAAGUUCGUUCUGCUGAUGGCUUCUCUUUCAUAUCAGAAUCAGGCCAGUGUUUUAUUUAAAGGCUCAAACAGGCGCUAUGUUCUCCUGAGGCCAUGUUGCAAAGCACAGCCAGUAUAGAGGGUAGCCUGGAACCUAUCCCAGAGGACUCAGGGCACGAGGUGGGGGACAUCCUGGACGGGGUGCCAAGCCAUUGCAGGACACAAUUGCACACAUAUGCACACAUUGCAGACAAUUUGGAAAUGCCAAUCAGCUUACAACGCAUGUCUUUGGACUGGGAGAGGAAUCCAGAAUAUCCGGAGGAAUCCCCCCGAAGCACGGGGAAAACAUGCAAACUCCAUGCACACAGGGCGGAGGCAGGAUUCGAAACCCCAACCCCGGAGGUACGAGGCAAGCGUGCUAACCACAAUUCAUGUUACGGCAAAUAUAAACAAUUGUUCCCUCAGCAGCCUGUCUUUCUCUCUCUUCACGUAUAUAACGUUAAUUUAAAAAAUCUUAGUUUGGCAUACUACAGACAAACUGAAAACCUG